ensembl:miRNA mir203a microRNA 203b
AGUGGUUCUCAACAGUUCAACAGUUCUUAGAGAAAAUUGUGAAAUGUUUAGGACCACUUG